rnacentral:rRNA from 1 species
GACGAGCGCUGGCGGCGUGCUUAACACAUGCAAGUCGAACGGAAAGGCCCUGCUUUUGUUGGGUGCUCGAGUGGCGAACGGGUGAGUAACACGUGAGUAACCUGCCCUUGACUUUGGGAUAACUUCAGGAAACUGGGGCUAAUACCGGAUAGGAGCUCCUGCUGCAUGGUGGGGGUUGGAAAGUGUCGGCGGUUUGGGAUGGACUCGCGGCUUAUCAGCUGGUUUGGGGGGUAGUGGCUGACCAAGGCUUUGACGGGUAGCCGGCAUGAGAGGGUGACCGGCCACAUUGGGACUGAGAUACGGACCAGACUCCUACGGGCGGCAGCAGUGGGGAAUAUUGCAGAAUGGGCGGAAGCCUGAUGCAGCAACGCCGCGUGCGGGAUGCCGGCCUUCGGGUUGUAAACCGAUUUCGCCUGUGACGAAGCGUGAGUGACGGUAAUGGGUAAAGAAGCACCGGCUAACUACGUG